rnacentral:rRNA from 1 species
ACAGCAGCAGCCACGGUAAUACAGAGGGUGCGAGCGUUAAUCGGAUUUACUGGGCGUAAAGCGUGCGUAGGCGGCUUUUUAAGUCGGAUGUGAAAUCCCUGAGCUUAACUUAGGAAUUGCAUUCGAUACUGGGAAGCUAGAGUAUGGGAGAGGAUGGUAGAAUUCCAGGUGUAGCGGUGAAAUGCGUAGAGAUCUGGAGGAAUACCGAUGGCGAAGGCAGCCAUCUGGCCUAAUACUGACGCUGAGGUACGAAAGCAUGGGGAGCAAACAGGAUUAGAUACCCCUGUAGUCCUGUCUCUUAUACA